AGUAACACGUGGAUAACCUACCUAUAAGACUGGGAUAACUUCGGGAAACCGGAGCUAAUACCGGAUAAUAUUUUGAACCGCAUGGUUCAAAAGUGAAAGACGGUCUUGCUGUCACUUAUGAUGGAUCCGCGCUGCAUUAGCUAGUUGGUAAGGUAACGGCUUACCAAGGCAACGAUGCAUAGCCGACCUGAGAGGGUGAUCGGCCACACUGGAACUGAGACACGGUCCAG
rnacentral:rRNA from 1 species